UACGGACUUAAAAUCCGUCGACUUUAUAAGUCGUGAGGGUUCAAGUCCCUCUAUCCCCA
rnacentral:tRNA from 14 species